GUAAAAAAGCUCGUAGUUGGAUUUCUGUUGAGGGUGACCGGUCCAUACCACGUAUGCGCAUCUGGUUCAGCCUCGGCAUCCUCUCGAAAAACGUUUCUGCGCUUGAUUGCGUGGAGCGGGGUUCGGGACUUUUACUUUGAGGAAAUUAGAGUGUUCACGGCAGGCUAUCGCCCGAAUACGUUAGCAUGGAAUAAUAAUAUAGGAUCUCGGUUCUAUUUUGUUGGUUUCUAGAAUUGAGGUAAUGAUUAAUAGGGACAAUUGGGGGCAUUCGUAUCAACACGUCAGAGGUGGAAUUCUUGGAUUGUGUUGCGACGAACUACUGCGAAAGCAUUUGCCAAGGAUGUUUUCAUUGAUCAAGAACGAAAGUAAGGGGAUCGAAGAUGAUUAGAUACCGUCGUAGUCUUUACCACAAACUAUGCCGACUAGAGAUGGGGCAUCGUUCAUUUACGACUUGCUCCGCACCUUAUGGAUACUAUAAGUCUUUGGGUUCCGGGGGGAGUAUGGUCGCAAGACUGGAACUUAAAGGAAUUGACGGAAGGGCACCACCAGGAGUGGAGCCUGCGGCUUAAUUUGACUCAACACGGGAAAACUCACCAGGUCCAGACAUAAUAAGGAUUGACAGAUUGAUAGCUCUUUCUUGAUUUUAUGGGUGGUGGUGCAUGGCCGUUCUUAGUUCAUGGAGUGAUUUGUCUGCUUAAUUGCG
rnacentral:rRNA from 1 species